UAGUGUUACAGCUCUUUUGGAAUUAGUCUAGCAGGUCUUCUGGUCUUACCAGAAGCCCCCC
rnacentral:snRNA from 1 species